CAGUCGCCACGGUAAUGCGUAGGGUGCGAGCGUUAAUCGGAAUUACUGGGCGUAAAGCGUGCGUAGGCGGUUCGUUAAGUCUGUUGUGAAAGCCCCGGGCUCAACCUGGGAAUGGCAAUGGAUACUGGCGAGCUAGAGUGUGUCAGAGGAUGGUGGAAUUCCCGGUGUAGCGGUGAAAUGCGUAGAGAUCGGGAGGAACAUCAGUGGCGAAGGCGGCCAUCUGGGACAACACUGACGCUGAGGCACGAAAGCGUGGGGAGCAAACAGGAUUAGAUACCCCCGUAGUCCCUGUCUCUUAUAC
rnacentral:rRNA from 1 species